CCAAAAGCGUACUAUUCACAAUAUAUACAACCCCAAAAGAGUUCUAUUUACAUCCUCAAAAGGAGUUAUCCAAACUACUACAUUAUCCUAUGCUAGUAGUCAAAAGUAGAAAGUAGACCCAAAGAGGGGUUCUUAUACAGAUCACCAAAACAAGAAAAAACAUCGUAGUUGUCCGGCUAUUACAAACCAAACCUAACUAUUCUAGUGAUAGUGCCAAAAGUUUCCCGCGUCGGCCCCCAUUAAGGAAAACAAAGGGAGAGGGGUAAGCUAUAUGCUUAGUAAGUAAACAGGGAUAAAAACGUAAAUUUUACAUUAAGACGAACAAUUACGUCACAAAGAUGUCCAAUCGAAAAUAUAAAAGUAACAACACAAGUUAAGGAUACAGGUUGGCUCCAAAGCCACGUCAUGUGCCAUGUGUGACCUCCUGUCGACACUCCGUCAACCACCGGUAAGGGUCCGUAAAACUCCACUUGUACUCCCACCUAACACCUUAUCACCCUCACUGGCCAGUCACCUCACGAAAUGUUUCGUGCAAACGAAACGAAAUUGAAUUUGAUUCACAAGCUCGGUUCACAAAUUUGGUUCACAAACUUGGUUCACAGAACCACAAACUUAGUGACCUUAAGACUAGGUUGGACUGGUUUUGACCAAACCCCGACCGGCUCGAAUAGUCCGUUUAGGUCUUGAGAUCGGGCCCCACAAAAGUCACCCCGAACUACAAGCUCAAGGGUUCAAUACCAAAAUAAUUCAUAUAUACACAUCUCAUUAAGAAGCACAUGUGCAAAGUAGGGUUUAGAUCGAGUGUGAUCAAGUACACCCUCGCCUAAGUACCUUCUCAUCCAUACCAAAGCACAUAAACAAGUUAUACACAAAAACGGUCUGAAUACUUACACAGAGAGCAAGUAUAGCAAAAGUGUGAAGAUCACGUCACGUAACAACUAGUAGGCCCCACUGGCACCGUCUUGCCCGUCACCAUAUGAAAUAAAAGAUUGCACCACAUUACUACACAAAUGACUACUAAAAUGCAUAAAUCAAGAAAAACCGCAAAACGGGCACAUGCACGCGCGGAAACGGCAAACGAAAACGGAAACUGCCGGCAAACGGAAACGGGCAGAUUUGGCACCUAGAACUGUUUUGAUCAAAUUUCAGGCUACGGUUAUCGGAUCGAAGUGCAUGAGGUACCGUUACGAGGCUAAGAAGAAGGGCUACAACUUUCAUGAAGACACCUCAAGUUAGAUCUCAAUGGAACUAGGACAAAAAUGCACAAGACAGUCCCAGCCGUUUCAAUUCAGGUUACCGAGCAGGCCCUGUUUGAACGACUAUAACUCAUAACUCAGAGAUCAGAAUCAAGAAAUUCUAGAGGUGUUGGAAAACUCAUUUAUAAGGCUAUAACUUUUAUGUUUUGACCAAAAGCUGAAUCAGUAUAGAGCAUAGGGAAAAACGGGUCCAAAAUUCCUGUCAGAACUGUCCAACUUCAAAGGCAGUUCUGACACCCGAUCUUGUUUUGGGUAUAACUAGAGUUACGAAACUCGGAUUUGGACGCACUUUAUACCGUUUUGAAGCUGAGACAAAGAUCUACAAGUCUUAUGAAGAACUCAAUGCCUAGUUCCUUCGUUAUCAAUGUGAACUGAGCACGGCAGAAGCAAAAUCAAGAAACGUAGCACAAUUCAGAGUUUAGAAUAGAAGCGAGGGUUUCGGCCAUAACUCAGGCUACACAGAUCCGUUUGCCUUGAAAUUUUGCAGGCACAACAAGAACUUAAGAAGCUACAAUCCUGAAUCAGUAUGUAGCACAAAGAAAAACGUAGCCAAAGUUCAGAUUCUGGGAUGCCUUGUUUUCUAAUUUAACCGGUUUCGCACAUCGCAAACGCAUGGUCCGUUGCUAUGGUUCUCAUGCAAGUUUUCUAACCAACUUCAUACCAACCAAACACACAUAAACCACCUCCUAUUUGCCCUACAAGAAAACUGAAAUUCCUUUCCCAAAUUAAUCCCAAAACUUACCAAACACUAACCAUAAUAUAGCUUCUAGCAUGAGGAACAAAAGGAAAGGCGGCGAGAAAGGCAGCUUUGCCAUCCUUUGGUAUUUUGAUCAUAACUUUUUCAAAACUUAUUAACUUUAUCAUUUUCAAACCAUGAAACAUACCUAUCUUCAAGUUUAACUUGUAUACUCAUUCAAUCCAAUAUACUUUCUCAAUCCAAUAUUAAUUAUGGCUUAUAGAUACUCCACUCCUUUUUUUUUAACAAAACUUAAAGUUAUUUGUAAAUUAACUUAGUCCACAACCUUCACCUCUCACAAUUUAUAAUCUUUGAAUUACUAAGAAAACCAAGUUUAAGCGAUUAGAAGUCAUUUCAUGAAUACGACUAUAACAAAUUACUUUAGAGUUUCUAAAAUAUCAAAUAAGUUUUAACUCAUUGCCAUACAACCUAUCUACAUAAAUUCAGCAACAAAACUUCAAGUUUUCAUCCAAUAACUUCAUUUUUCACUUGAUUAAACCGCCAGCUACUUAACUUACAUUUAAUCUAACAUGUAUUAGGAUGAGAAACAUUUAAUUGUAACCAAUGGUUUGUUCAAACUAUGGACACAAAUCAGUCUUAACUAUCACAGCUUUUAAGCAAUCCCUUAGCUACGUAUAAAUCGGUCCAAUGUUUGCCGUUUCACUCAAGUUCCUCCUUCCAAGUUUUUAUCCCAAUUAGACAUGUUAACCACGUUUAUUAAACUACAAAUGAGCCUUGUACAGAACACAAAAGAUUGUGUAGCUCACUCUUCACCAAAGAAAACUGAUCAGUCUAUUUUUUCUUCUCUCUCGGCUGUGAAGUAUGGAACUACGCAUUUCAUAGCUUUUCCUCCCUAAUUCAUUCAGUUUAAACCCAAUUCAUUGAGUUAAUAUACUGAUUAAACUACAGAGUAUCAUCAAAUGUCAGGUAAGAGAGUUCACAGAAUUGAAAUUGGAAAGGAAAAAUGGUUCUCACUUAAUUCCCUCCCUCUCGGCUAUCUUUCUCUCUCUCAACAGAUUACUUCAUUUUUGUUCGUUAAAAUCCACAUGCAAGAGUUGGUUGCUAAACUACAGAGUAUCCUGAGCAAACACACAAGAUGGCAGCCAAGGAAAAUCAGAACAACUUUGGUUCAGCUCACGAUCUUCCUCCUCCUGCAUUUUUUCCAGAAUUAUAGCAGCAAUCCAUUUAACACAAAUUUUCUCCAAUAAUCUCUUCAGUUUAUGUUCAAGUCUUUCAUGCAUGUUCAGACCAAGUUAAUAUACACUAUAUAUUACAGUUUAACGCAAAGAUUCAAGGCCAAAAUUCAUGAAGACAGCUAGAAAUCUGUCCAUUUCCCCCCUCGGUUAACCUGGAAAAAUUCCAGCAGAAGUCUUCCCACGGUUUCUACCAAAAUUCCAACUUUUCCCUAGUUUCUUCAACUAAACCCCUUAUAAAACCUGAGAUAACCAUAAUUCUUGCAUUUCUCACAUUAGUUUCCAUUUUUACGCUAAUAACAGACUGCAACUUCCGAUAAUAUACUCCCGGUUCCUGUAACUUCAGUCCAGUUCCAAACUUGUCUUCUUUAUCAAAUUUUCUUCGGUUAAAACUCAUUAUUCCUUGCUAAAACUAACUUGCAUCUUAUAUAUUCACUGGUAUUUAGUAAGUAAAGGAUUACUACAGAAAUUCUUUUACCUCUUUUCGGUUAAAACACAGCAAAUUGUUGACUGCUCCUAUUCUUAGCUUCAGUUUCCUCGAACUGCAACAGCUUGCACUCUUUCUCUCGGUGAAAGCUGAAAGCUAAUCAGGGAUGGAACUAGCAAAGUUUCUCCUCCUAUCGAUCACUAGCUUAGCCCUUAGCUUUAGUGUUUAGAAGGAAGAAAAUAGUUGGCUCCCUAUUUUCUCUCGGUUAUUG
rnacentral:lncRNA from 1 species